CGGCCCUGCAAAUUAUCGUCGGUUGUUUACUGUUGGGCGCCAUCGUUUUAGUGGUGGGCUUGGUCCAAUUAACGCCGAAUGCUGCUGACGCGGACCAUCGCUACAUAUUCCUCGGUGCCGGCUCCAUAUUAUUAGUAUUAGGAUUAAUUAUGACAGCAGUUAGAUGUUGCUGCAUGCAUUGUGCGGAAACAAGGGCGACUGAAGAAGAGGCGCCUCCGCCAAUAGACGCGAUUAACAGUAUCGACGUACUCGUACAGAGGAGAGAUACACAGGUCAAGGGACUAGGCUACAUUUUACUAUAUACCGACUGCAUAGAUAAGCCAAGAUAUUUUAACUAAAAUCGAAAUAGAGCCUACUAAAAACAUAUCACGUUUGUAUAUAGGAAACUGUUUCUUUGCGUUGUUAAUAUCUAGAUAAGUCUUCCUCGAGUUUGUAUGGAUUAUUUGUUAAGAUUUUUUAUAUUAUUAUUAUAGUGAUCCGAUUUUGUAAUUAUUUUUUCUAAUCUAUUGUGGACCAAUUUAUAAUAAAGUUUUACCAAGCA